ensembl:lncRNA
GGAUUUCCACUAAAGAAAGAGAAAAAAAAAAUAGUGGAAAUAAUACGAUCAAAUUUAUUUAGAAAGUAAAAGAACAGAUAUAUGGAAAAAAAGAACUGCUAUAUAAAUGUGAGUGAGAAUAUUGAAACAAUACUAUUAUACUAAAUGUGUGGUGUACCAAACCCUCUUAUAAACAAUGCAAAACUCAAAGAGGAAUAAAAUCUGAUUCAUUUUGUCAAAGAUCAAAACUAGGGUUAAAUCUAUAUAUUUUCCACAAAACUCUAUCUAACUGGGAAAUAUGUACAUACAUAUGUAAGUUCUAAGAUGAAAACCAUACCAUCUCUAUUUUUGAAUAGAAGAACCUAGAAACAUCACUUUUAUGUCUAUUUUCAAAGAAGCUCAAUAAUGUACAGAAGAAGUAUCCUUCAGCAUUGCCUUUCUUUUUUUUGCAGUCUUCUGGCAUCUACUGAAAUCAACAAAAGCUUCAAUGGCAGAAGAACAUCAGCAGAUAAGCAGGAGACAAUACUGAAGAAUUGGAAUGAUGGCUCGUUGUUUGCAAAAAUAGUAAUGUACAUCUUGAUUUGAAAAUGUUCCUGACCACCAGAGAAGAGGCUCAAAGAGGAAUAGAAGACUUCUUCUCACUCGUGAAACUGGCUAAUAGAGUCUACUGUAUUUUAACAAACAUCUGUUUUUCCAUAAGCUCUCAGAGAGAAAAGGAAGACUCUUCUAGAUUUUGUCCAAAUUCAAAAGUAGAAGACGAUAUGACUUCAUAGUCUAGGAUUGGUAUCAGUAAACAAAUAUGCUGGUAUCUAAAGAGGCACAGUAAAAAUAAAUGGUUUAGACAACUCUUCUGAAACCAAUGAUGUUUCAACUGAUUGUUUACCAUAGAUCGGUUUGUUUUUCUUCCAGGCUUCUCUCUUUUCCAUUUACGGGAAUUGUCAUCCCGGACUCUUUGGCACUUCUUCUUUCUCCACUCCACCAAUGAGGAAAAAAUACUGCUGUGUUUUUGGACGGGGUUAAUCGAUUAAAAAUCCUGAAUCCUCUUCACUGUGACUAGGAACACAUGAGAAAGAAAGGAAAGCAGAGACACAGGAAGGGAGAGAGGGAAUACAACCUUUCUAUUUGGUUGGAUUUUACAUUGUCUGAUUUGAGGGUAUUGGAAGGAAUGAGGAGAGAGAAAGUAAGCCCAUUUUAGUUCUUGGAGAACCUGUGACUUUCAACCUAGUAUUAUGGUUAAUAUUAAGCGUCAACUUGACUGGGUUGAAGGAUGCAAAGUAUUGUUUCUGGGUGUGUAUGUGAGGGUGUUGCCAAAGGAGAUUUACAUUUGAGUCAGGGGACUGUGAGAGGCAAACACAGCCUUAAUCUGGGUGGGCACCAUCGCCUCAGCUGCAGCACAGCAAAAGCAGGCAGAAGAGGGUGGAAUGAGAUGACUCGCUGAGUCUUGCGGCCUCCAUCUUUCUCUGUGCUGAAUGCUUCCUGCCCUCCAACAUCAGACCCCAGAUCUUUGGCCUUUGGACUUGUGGACUUACACCAGUGGCUUGCCUAGGGCUAUUGGUCCUUCAGCUACAGACUGAAGGCUGCACUGUCAAUUUCUCUACUUUUGAGAUUUUGGGGCAGGGACUGAUCCUCUACUGGCUUCCUUGCUCCUCAACUUGAAGACGGCCUAUUGUGGGACUUUACCUUGUGACCACGUGAGUCAGUUAUUUUUAAUAAACUCCCUUUCAUAUAUACACAUAUCCUAUGAGUUCUGUUCCGCUAGAGAACCCAGACUAAAUCACCUAGCUUUUAUAUGUAAUCACAGAAUCACCGUAAUUUCUCCUAAUUUAGCUCUUGCUUUUGGCUACUGGCUGAGAAUACCCUUAGAUUUUCCAUUAACCAAUUCUCUCUCUAAAUGUUCAACCAGGCUGGGCGCGGUGGCUCACGCCUGUAAUUCCA